AUGCUUUUGAAGACUGUCAAAAAUGCUGAAGACUCUGGCUCCUCAGUUGCACCAGCACUGCAAUUUCUGGCAUCGUUCUGGAAGAAGACUGUAAGACAACCCAGCAUUACCUUUCAGAGGGUUGUGCCAUCAUGCUCUACUGAAUUGUACCGCCAGGGUGUUGCAAAGAGUGCCUUGCAAUGUGGAGCUACCCAAACCUAACAAGGCUUGGGAGCGACGUAUUCAUUACUAUAUGCGUGACCUCAUCUUCAAAGGAAGAUUAGCAUUAGCCAACUUAAGAUGAUGGAAAGGGAGGAGUUGGUUUAAAAUUAAUUUCAGUGACAAUAGGAUUCAAUAAAAUAAUAAAAUCUAUUCUUGUCA
rnacentral:lncRNA from 1 species